AUGCCGCGUCGCUGCAAAUGUGAUUUAGGCACCCGCACAAGUAUGGUGAUCAGUUCAUCAGUAUGGCAAUCAGGCUAUAUUACUGCAAAUGGUACUAUUACAUCUCAUUGUUUUGAGCGCUACACCUUUGAGCAGGCACUAGCGAUUGGCAAUGCACUGGAAACUGAUAUACAUGCAAUUAUGCAAGGGAUGGCGUUGGCUAUACAACAUUUCACUCUGUCCAAUCUGUUUCAAGUGAGGCCUUAUUGUCUAUCAGGAACAGAGUUGAUUGGUCAUCUCGUGGCUGAAAUCAAGAAGUUGAUGAGAGACAGGGAGUUUAUUUCUCAGAUGUUGAUUAGGAUUAAAAUAGAGUUGCCAACCGUUUGGCAAACUAUAGUCGUAUAG
rnacentral:rRNA from 1 species